rnacentral:rRNA from 1 species
CAGUCGCCACGGUAAUACGUAGGUGGCGAGCGUUGUCCGGAUUUAUUGGGCGUAAAGGGAGUGUAGGCGGUCUUUUAAGUCUGAUGUGAAAGCCCACGGCUCAACCGUGGAGGGUCAUUGGAAACUGGGAGACUUGAGUGCAGAAGAGGAGAGCGGAAUUCCAUGUGUAGCGGUGAAAUGCGUAGAUAUAUGGAGGAACACCAGUGGCGAAGGCGGCUCUCUGGUCUGUAACUGACGCUGAGGCUCGAAAGCGUGGGGAGCAAACAGGAUUAGAUACCCCGGUAGUCCCUGUCUCUUAUAC